AGCGACAGCUCCGCGGGAGCGAAGGGCGGGGCCGGGGCCGCCAAGCGCCGCGACGCGGGAAGUAGAGAUGCGGCGGCAUUAGGAGCCGCAGGUGCGAAGGCGCGCGCGGCGAGAAGAGAAGGGAAGGGAAACAGGCGAAGAUCCGAGCUGAUGACGCCCGGCGUGUAGCUGCUGAAACUGAUCCGGUGGGAAGGUGAGCCACGCGGGAAGAGCUCAGGCUCGCCCCCUGGGGUGCAGCAGGCCAAGGGUCGGACCUCCCGCCGCUGAAGGAGGUCGGCGGAGCCCCUGCAGGCGUGCCCGCACCGUGCCAGGUGUGCCCGCACCGUGCCAGGUGUGCCCGCACUGUGCCAGGUGUGCCCGCACCGUGCCAGGUGUGCCCGCACCGUGCCAGGCUGUUGUGCCCAAGAUUGCGAAUCCGAGACAACCACCAAGGAGCCGACACCGCUGCAAUCUCCACCAGGUGUGCCCGCACUGUGCCAGGUGUGCCCGCCUGCCCUCCCAGACGACUCUACUGGCUGCAUGAGGACACCUGCGUCCCGCUGGAACGUAUUUUUCCCCCAGUCGGCAGGAAACUUCAAAAGAAAAUGUUUCGGGAAGUGAGGAAGAUCCUGGAAAAUACAUCAGGGUUCUUAGGAAGAUCCCAGGAGAAGGCAGCCGGGCCCUCUCGCCACCCAGACUGACAGUGAACAUCACUGAGAUUUCCUUUGGGGAACUAGUCUCAGUUUCAGAGGGACACACCUCACCUCUAGACCUAGCUAAUUAGUAUAUAAUCUUUUAAGUUACAUCGAUUGAGGGUGGGCAUGUGAUUAGCCCAUCCAAUGAGACUCAGUCCUGGAUUUAUUAGAGCUGUAAGAAAUCUCUCCUGGGGUUGUUGCUUUGGGUGGUUUCCUCCUGUGCGUGUGCUGACUGGGACGCAGCUGAAUACUCAGAGGACCUCUGGGACCUCUCUGAAGUUCUCCCUCCGUGCAGCUCUCUCCCCUCUGGGACUCGGUCCUGGACUCCAGCAGUCCUUGUCUCCCUGAGCUCUGGCACCGCCUCAGGGAGCCCACCGAUUUCCCCUCCUUGCAAUGCAGCUUUGGACAUUUACAAUCUCUAAGAAUAGAUACGUGGGCACCUGGCUGGCUCAGUCAGUAAAGCAUGCAACUCUUGACCUUGCGUGGGGCGGGGUUUAAAGAAACCUAAAGAUAAGUGGGGAGAGUAGCUGGAUGAAGAGAGAACUUCUGCCAUGAGAAAUCCGAGGAGGAACAAAUCCAAAAUUGCUGAAGACAGUCACGUCUAAAUACCCUACCUCUUCCAGCCACCUGUCUUCUCGGGGAAGCCUCUGCAACCGGUUUUUUGUCAGCUCAAGUUGGAGGCCAUCAAACCUGCACUUAAACCAGCGAUGAGCUUCUUCCAGAUGAGAGCGGUUUCUGAAUGUGGAGUUGAAGAAUGCGUGCAAGCCUGCAGCUAUUCAAGCAUUAAUUAAUAUUUUCUGGAUGUGAAUGAAAGGAAGAGGACCCAGGAGGAAAAUAAGAAUGAAAGGACAAGGCACUGCCAAUGAAUAUUGGUAGUUCAAACCAGAGUUUGAAUUUUUGAGUUCUGUUCCCUAAGACUAAACAGUUCUCCAAAGUUUAUACACAGAUCUUUCUUUUGGGCUUUAUGAAAGUAAUCAAAUUAGUAACAGACUGGACUAGCUUAGUGUAAGUUGCAUUCUUUUUAUUUCCUUUAUCAUUAAAACAUUUUAUACUUCAGCUCCUAAGUACAUAUUUCCAAAUUAUCUUUGUUAGACUUCAAUGGCCCUUCUAGUAGUCUGACUUCGAAGAUGAUCCGGAAUCAGUAUUCAUUUAAUUGACAAGUAUUUACUGAGUGCCUAUGUGUGUGCCUGGCACUUUUGUAUGUAUUUGGGAUACUUCAGUAUUUUAAGACAGCAUUUUCAUUUUUUGAUUCUGACAUCUGAGAGAGAGAGGUGUAUUUCUCUGUUUCCUGGGAGAAGUGCCCGUGAUACCCUCAUACCUCCCUCACCACACCAGACAACUUUCUCCAGCGCUCUUUACCAGGACUGGAGGGAAAGAUGCCUGAAAUGGCCCCACACAUCAUGUCUCCUCUUGCACGGUGAACGGGAAGGGGGGUACUACUUAUUGAAACUUACUCUGAGUCAUCUAACAAUAAUGGAAUAGUUAAGCUUUAAUAUCCUGGCUUUUCUAGAUGUGGUAACUGAUGAGUUAAAAUGGAACUUCCUCAAGGGUAAGUUGGCACUCAAAACUCCUGUGUGUCGGAGUGCAUAUUCCUUUUAAUACUCUGUUCUGACAGUCACAUUAUUUCUAUGACUUAAUGGCUAUAAAAGGGACACAUGACCAACUGACAACACCAUCACUGUAUACCUUAAGAAUCUAUUUUCUUAUCUGGAAAAUGAGUGGUUGUGUCAGACAAUGAUUUCAAAGACCCUUUCCAGCUCUAAAAACCUUUAAAAUGCUUUAGAGAAAGCAAAUUCACAAAUUAAAAGGGCCUUCGAGGGGUAUCUGGCUCAGUGGGAAGAUCGAGCAACUUUUAAUCUCAGGGUCAUGAGUUUGAGCCCCAUGGUGGGAAGAAAGAUUACUUAAAUAAAAAAAUAAAAAUAAAUAGGGCCUACUUACAUUUCUAGUUAUUGACUAAACAAAGAGCUUCCAUUUUUAUUAGUGAUGUCAAGCCAUAAUGCAUUAAAAUCUACACACAUGCUGGUCUUCCCUUCUUAUAUUUAGGGGUAGAGAAUUGGACUUGAGGUUCAUUCAGGACUUCAGCAUUCUGUUAUCUUUUAUCAGGACACAGAACCUCAGUCUAAAAAUUAUUCUUCAUAGUAGACAUUAGACUUAGUAAGUUGUUAUUGCCUGACAACUCUGUUAAUGAAGGAUUUUACCUUGACUUGAAGGUUUCAAGGUUGCUGUGUCGGAGGACACCUGUCUACGUUUCUACGCCCAUAGGUCUGGCUUACCUGUUCUGAUUCCACACUGGCUUCUUUCAGCUUAUGCUCUGUUGCCUCUUUACAUUUCUUUAGGUGUCUGAUAGUUUCUUCCAAUUCCUGAACAUGGGAUACAAAGAUUUUUAGAAAUUCCCAACAUCCCAUAUGGAGCCCAGAGCUUCCAUGUUGUUAUAAAUCAGCAACAAAAUUAGGAAAGUACCAUGGGGUGUGCUACCAAAAUACAAGAUAAGAACUGUUCCUCUCAGUAGUAUACAUAGAUGCAUACAAUGACAGAUUUUGACUGAUUUCUGUAUUCUCCUGAGGAGAAAGUGAUCAAUAUCUGUUUUCCAGAAUGGAAGGAAUGCUUUUUUAAGGAGACCAUGUCUGCUGGAAGGCAAGAGCUUGAUGGUCUCUUCAAGUUCCUUUCCAGUGACAGAAUGUCACGCUCUUCAGGAGGCUGGGGAGAGUUUCAAGUCUACCACAGUAACAGGCAUAUCUGAGCUUCAGGGAAGAACCAAGGCACAGAAAGUUCUGGAAAGACCAUGGAAUUCAUUUCAGGAGUCCUACUUAGGAACCAGUAUUUUGCACAGAUUUGCACCUCUGCUACAGAAUCUAGAAAGUCUACGUGCUCUACUGUGGGGUUUCAGUCCAAGUCCCCCACCGCCCCUCUCCGAGGAGGCCUCUCACCCGGCACCGGCUCUCCAGUUCCUGCCGAACAUUGCGCUCUGCCUCGAGUCGCAGCUCUUGCUGUUUGUUCUGCGCAGACGUCUCAUAUUGGCUCUUGGCCAGCAGCUGCAUCUCCUUCUGUAGGUCUUUGACUACUUAAUACUGAGAAGACUGGAUUUUCUUAAGAGCUAAAUUUAUCCAUUCACAAGAGACAGAGAGGCAGAAGCAGGCUUCCUGUGGGGACCCAACGCUGGACCUGAUCUUGGACCCUGGGAUUACACCCCGAGCUGAAGGCAGACGCUCAACCACUGAACCACCCAGAUCUUUAAACAUGAGCAUAUUAAAGUCUUUUAUCAUUUACCAACAGCUGUUGUUAUACUCUGAUACUUUUGCAGAAGGGAGAUUCCUGGGAAGGAUCCUACUAUGUAUAGGUACAUAUUUCACAAUUGAAGAAGGCUCCAUCUGACAUCUGGUCCUAUGUAAAUAUGUUGUGGAGGCCUCAAAAUCAAACUAAGAAGAAAAGUAGCGGACACUGGGUUAGACUGCUUGCUCCUAAGACUUCAGAUCAAGAAUGUUUCUUUCUUUCCAUUCUUCCUUCUCUCUCUGACCAUCCUUUUUUUUUUUUUUUAAAUAUUUAUUUAUUCAUGAAAAAGACACAGAGACACAAGCAGAGGGAGAAGCAGGCUCCAUGCAGGGAGCCCAACAUGGGACUCGAUCCUGGGACUCCAGGACAACACCCUGGGCUGAAGGAUGCCAAACCACUGAGCCACCCAGGGAUCCCCUGACCAUCCUUUUCUUAAUUCUUACACCAAGUCUUUAUGAUUCUUUUGCCCACCUUUCCUUGCUCUGACCUGCAAAAAUAAUGCCAUUGCAAAGGGCCUAAUCCAAUCUUCAAACAACUGGUGAUCCUGUAGUUCUGCCCAUCACAUACUUCUCCCUGAUUUCAGUGCUUCAGUUUCUCUGGACCAAACUCUGCCCCCUGUCCUUUGUAUCAUACUCCCUACACCCAAGGGUCAAUUUCUGUGCUUCUGGUUAAAAACGCCAACCCCAGGGAAUCUUGCAUCUAGGUUCUAUACAAAGAAAAGGACAAGCAAAACUAGAAUAAAACUGGUGUGGUCUACAGACUUGAACUUUACUUGCCUCCAUUGCUGUCGCCUUUCCAAUGCUGAGCCACAGACUGAAAUCAGGACUUACCAGGAGGCAUUCGUGAUUCAACGUUCGCUUCCUUUGGCAGAUCCCUAGUGCCUUGGCUAGCAGUAAGUGCAAAUGGGGGCGCAAUCAGAAACCUCUCCUUAACUCAAAGGUACUGCAGAAUCUGCUGAUAAAUAGCUGCCCAACAAAACCCCUAGACUCUCUGCCUGAACUUGUUCCGGAUAAUAGAAGAAAUUAGCUGGAUUGUCUUUCAGCUGAGCAAGGAAGUGUUUGUGCUGUGGCCUCAACACCACACGCUGCACUUAGACUGACACUUCUGGAGAAGCUGAGCCUCAGCUACGGAAGAUCACUGAACAAGCUGGCUGGUUUAAGAAAGUGACUCCUUCGGCAGAGUCCUUCACUUACUUGACUCUGACUGAUUGGGGUCUUGGGGACCACGGCUCCAAAGGACACUCUAGACAUUGGGAAUUAUCCUACUUAUAAUAAUCAGAGCAGUCUCUCUAGUUUGCUGGAUUCUCUCAAAACCUUGAAAUGCAUGAUCAUGGGUGCUAACCACCGAGCAAAUGGUCUAAGACAGAGACAGAGAGAGAGAGGCAGAGAGACAGGCAGAGGGAGAAGCAGGCUCCAUGCAGGGAGCCUGACGUGGGACUCAAUCCCGGGUCUCCAGGAUCACACCCUGGGCUGAAGGCGGCGCUAAACCGCUGCACCACGGGGGCUGCCCGGUAAGCAAUUUUUAAUAUCCUCUCCUUAACUUUUUUAAGUUCAGAGGUAACAUACAUCUAUAGUAUGUAAAAAAUGAAGAUAAGUACAAUGGGGAAUAUAAAAAUGGCACUUGUUCUCCCAUAACAGAGAGGCAAUAUGCACCACUAAUAUACACAUUCUAAUAUAUUUCAGAGGACUUAUUAAACUCAAACCAUUUGUUUGUUAACCUCAAGGGGAAACUCAUGCGACUUGAAACAUUUUUUAAAAAUGGAGUUUACUUAUAAAACACGGCUUGCAGCAGUUCUCAGAAUGAUUCAUCUAAACAGGUCACUAAUAUAUAGAUAGUUCAAACUCAAGUUGGCACUUAGCUUUAAUUAUCUAGACUAGACCACUAUUAUUCUGUAGAUCUAAGAGCAGGUUUAAAUGGUGUAGAAACAGGGUAAAGCAGCAAUAUAGCACAUGAAUUUCUCGAAUACAGACUCCUUUACAUCACUACAAAAUAUGGGGAUUUUGAAUCUUUGAAAAUCAUGUUUAUUUCUCUUUUUUAAAUCAUGUUUAUUUCUAAUAAAUAUUUAUAAUACUGUGUUUUACUGAACAGGUCUACAUUUCGCCAUUUCUGAAAUGUAAAGCUAGAUAGAAAACUUUACGAGUGUUGCACAGUAAAGGGGAUGAAUUGUCAUAUUCACACAUUUAGUGAGUAGUAAAAUAAGGAGAGGAAAAUACAUCAAACUUUGGAUUGGAAUUGGAGGAAAAAAUACCUGUUCAGGACUGAAGGGAGGUCCUUGGUUGCAAACAAAAAUCUCCCCUUGACUAAAGAUGUCAAUGGAUGUCAAUUUACAAAGAACACUGAAUUGCACAAAAUGCUCCUGGGCAGGAAAAACGGGCAGGAUACAAGGGUGUGGGCUGGGGGGGCAUGGCUGGGUUGGGAACCCGAGUGAAGGCUGUGGCUCAGGUCCAGGACCUGGAGGUAAGAGCAGGCUGGGAAGUCUAGAGACAGAGCUUAGUGCAUUCACCAAAAGACCUUCCUUUCCAGUCAAGGAUGCUUUCCUCAAAUGGGGGCUAGCUCUUUAAAGUGACUUUGCUUCUUGACUGCACACCGCUGCUAACACGCACAAAGACAGAAAAAUAAUCUCCAGUACCUUUCUUUCUUGAGACCUGCAAUCUCUGAAUCUCUCCGCCCGAGCUCUAUUUGUACUUUUUCCAGAGCACCUUGCAUCUUACUGUGAGAAGCCAGCACAUUCUCCAACAUAAUUGUAACUUUGCAAUUGUCUUCUUUAGCCUCUGCCAGUUGUCGCUGGAAGUUACCCACCUAAGAGAAAAUGAAACAAGACAAAGAUACUUGAUCCUUUCUGGUUAUUCUGCUGCUGCUGAGUCCCAUUACUUCUAGGCAAGACUAUGGACACCAAGCACAGUAGAAUGCUGAGAGGAAUAACUGAAGCAUCUUUUAUUUUGCUAAGAUCUGAAUUUAUUGUGACUUUGAGAAAAACAAAACUAGACCCCAGGACUGUGGAGAAGCCUGCAGUGCUUCCCAACUAUUGUCACGUCACAGCAUGUGUGUUAACUGGAGACAUCGAUUGGCAUCAACAACUUCCCGGUUCUAGAUGUGCGUGGGCCCAGGCUGCUCUGCUUGGCCCAACUCAGUGAUCUUAUGAUGGGGCCAGAGAGAACAUUAGAAUUAGUAACAUGUUAAUAACACAUAAGUAGACGGCUCUUGCUGCCAAGGUCAGAUGUGUUUCAACAGAAAAAAAUUAGGACUUUUCCCCUUUGUUAAAAAAACAUUGGGAGUUAAAUGAUGUGUUUUUAAGGCAAACACUUUAUAGCUCUUCUAAAGUUAUCUUUAGAAAAAAACUUCCUCUGAUCAAUCUUCAUUCUUACUAAAGGCAACAAGAAAUGAAGGACUGGGACUUGUGAAAGAUUUCUUCAGCACCUCAGGUCUGUAACGAACUUUCAGAAAGGACUGAUGCCUUGCCUUCUUGUUCUCUCUGUCCUCCAAGGCCUCGAGAUCCCCUUUCAACUUCUGACUCUCUUUCAGGGCUACAUCACGACACUUCACUGCUUGUGAGAGUUCCUCUUCGUUCUUUUCAAGAAUGGAUUUCACCUUAGUAGAAAACAAGGAAUGAUAACUUUUCCAAAGAAUUAUAAAUCAACAAUUAGAAUAAGACACAGCAAUUUGGAAACCAAACUUAAAAUGUUUAAUUAAAUACACUGUAAUAAAACCAGCUUUAUUAGCCAUUUUUCCCUUUAAAGAAAACUACAAAGCAAAAAUAAAUCUGUGUGAAUAAACAUGAGCAAACCUAACAGAUGUCAAUCUCCAUGAAAGUACAGGUUAAGUGAUAACAGAGAUAAGGCUAUGAAGGUUAGAUGUAAAAUGGAGAAACUGAUUAUCAUGGAAGUUGAAAAUAUAACAAAUGCAGAAUAUAACAAAAGCAAAGACGAAUAAAUACUAUGUAGUGUUAAGAAAACAGCAUUAUAGAAGAAUACAUCCCAAUUAGAAGUAUUAGUAUUUUACAUCCAUAAAACACUUUUAGUAUAUCUAUACAAUCAUUUUAAAUGAUCACACUAUUUUAAAUAUUCUUUUUAAAGUGUUGAAAUAAAUAGAUUCACAGGAUGUUGCAAAAGUAGUACAAAGGGUCCCAUGUCGUCUUCACCCUGCUUCCAAUGGUGGCAUCUUACGUGCUGUAGUUCAACAUCAACACUGGGAAACGGUUUGGUAUGUUACUGUUGACUAGAUUACCUGGACUACAGAACUUGCUCCAUUUUCACUUCUUUAAAACCUGUGUGCGUGCGUGUUCACAGAGCUCUAUGGAAUCUGAUCCCAUGCACUUUACGUGAACACCAUCACAAUCACAAUUCAGAAACGCUCCAUCUCGCCACAAAAGAAUUCACGUGUGCUACUUCUAUGUAUGCACACAUGAUCUCAAAACCAUCCCCUGUCCUGGGGCAACCAGUAAUUUGUUCUAGACCUCUGUAAUUUUGUCAUUUCAAGAAUGUUGAAUAUUUUAAUAUAAUUACGUUUUGCAUAGGUAAUACAUCCACAUUAUCCUUUCACAAGCAGCAUUGAGGUAUAAAUGACCUACAAUAAGCUGCAUAUUUUUCAACUGUACAGUUUUAACUACAUAGAAACUCUUGAAACCAUAAUCAAGAUAAUAAGCAUUUCUAUCAUCUCAAAAGUUCUCUCGUGCCUCUUUGUAAUCUUCCCCCAUCUCUCCUUGUUCCCCCACCUCCACACAAGGCAACUAAUGUUUUGUCACAAGAAAUUCGUUAUUUUCUAGAAUUUUAUAUAAAUGGAAUUAAUUGUAUGUACUCUUUUUUGAAUGGCUUCUUUCACUCAGCACAAUUAUUCUGAGAUUCAUUCCAUCCUUUUCAUGUAUCAAUAAUUCAGUCCUUUCUGUUGCUGAACAGUAUUCUAUUGUAGGGUAGACCACCAUGUACUUUCCCAGUCUCUUGACACUUGAGUUGCUUCCAGUUUUAAGCUAUUACAAAUAAAGCUGCAGUGAACAGUUGUGUAGA